rnacentral:tRNA from 1 species
GCCGAGGUGGUGGAAUAGGUAGACACGCCGUCUUGAGGGGGCGGUGCUCGUAAGGGCGUAGGGGUUCAAAUCCCCUCCUCGGCACCA